rnacentral:rRNA from 1 species
AUAGGUGGCAAGCGUUGUCCGGAAUUAUUGGGCGUAAAGCGCGCGCAGGCGGUUCUUUAAGUCUGAUGUGAAAGCCCACGGCUCAACCGUGGAGGGUCAUUGGAAACUGGAGAACUUGAGUACAGAAGAGGAAAGCGGAAUUCUACGUGUAGCGGUGAAAUGCGUAGAGAUGUGGAGGAACACCAGUGGCGAAGGCGGCUUUCUGGUCUGUAACUGACGCUGAGGCGCGAAAGCGUGGGGGAGCAAACAGGAUUAGAUACCCUGGUAGUCCACGCCGUAAACGAUGAGUGCUAAGUGUUGGGGGGUUUUCCGCCCCUUAGUGCUGCAGCUAACGCAUUAAGCACUCCGCCUGGGAGUACGGCCGCAAGGCUG